CAAAAACAUCGCCUCCUGCCUAAUUAUAAGAGGUCCAGCCUGCCCAGUGACAUUGUUCAACGGCCGCGGUAUCCUAACCGUGCGAAGGUAGCGUAAUCACUUGUUCUUUAAAUGAGGACUAGUAUGAAUGGCUUCACGAAAGCUAUACUGUCUCCUUUAUCCAAUCAGUUAAACUAAUCUCCCCGUGAAGAAGCGGGGAUGCAUCUAUAAGACGAGAAGACCCUAUGGAGCUUUAAACACCUAAAACAUUUGUAUUACGCAUUAAACUUUCAGAAAACUUCCUCAAAGCUUACCAUUUUGUUUUAAGUUUUAGGUUGGGGUGACCACGGAGAAAGCCUAACCUCCACGUAGAAAGAAAAUUAUUUUCUAAGCAAAAAGCCACAUCUUUAUGCAUCAAAAUAUUGACCUGAAUUGACCCAUUAUUUGAUCAACGAACCAAGUUACCCUAGGGAUAACAGCGCAAUCCGCUUUAAGAGCUCUUAUCGACAAGCGGGCUUACGACCUCGAUGUUGGAUCAGGGUAUCCUAGUGGUGCAGCAGCUACUAAUGGUUCG
rnacentral:rRNA from 1 species